GAUGAACGCUGGCGGCGUGCCUAAUACAUGCAAGUCGAGCGAACAGACGAGGAGCUUGCUCCUCUGACGUUAGCGGCGGACGGGUGAGUAACACGUGGAUAACCUACCUAUAAGACUGGGAUAACUUCGGGAAACCGGAUCUAAUACCGGAUAAUAUAUUGAACCGCAUGGUUCAAUAGUGAAAGACGGUUUUGCUGUCACUUAUAGAUGGAUCCGCGCCGCAUUAGCUAGUUGGUAAGGUAACGGCUUACCAAGGCAACGAUGCGUAGCCGACCUGAGAGGGUGAUCGGCCAAACUGGAACUGAGACACGGUCCAGACUCCUACGGGAGGCAGCAGUAGGGAAUCUUCCGCAAUGGGCGAAAGCCUGACGGAGCAACGCCGCGUGAGUGAUGAAGGUCUUCGGAUCGUAAAACUCUGUUAUUAGGGAAGAACAAAUGUGUAAGUAACUAUGCACGUCUUGACGGUACCUAAUCAGAAAGCCACGGCUAACUACGUG
rnacentral:rRNA from 1 species